UUUCCGUAGGUGAACCUGCGGAGGGAUCAUUACUGAGUGAGGGCUUCGGUCCGACCUCCAACCCUUUGUGUGAACCAAACUUGUUGCUUCGGGGGCGACCCUGCCGUUCGGCGCGGCGCCCCCGGAGGCUCAUCAAACACUGCAUCUUUGCGUCGGAGUCUUAAUGAAUUUAAACAAAACUUUGAACAACGGAUCUCUUGGUUCUGGCAUCGAUGAAGAACGCAGC
rnacentral:misc_RNA from 1 species